CGUCUGUAAACGGGGUCGAAACUACUGUAUGAAUAAACUUCGGCCCACGUGACAUCCCUUCACGUCUAUGCUCGCUAUCCCAAGGUUCAUUGCGAUCCCAAGGUUCACUGCGGUUUUCCACAAGCCUGUUUCUGCCUAUCACCAUGAGUGAUUCCUCAAUACUCAGAUUUAUCAUCAAGAUCUCAAUUAUAAGCUCAAGUUUUGAUGACAACUUGGUGAUCUGCAGAAAGCACCACCAUGUAAGGAAGGCCAAGACCACUCUGGAAUCAGUCAAGGCUCAUAGAAACUCCAAUCUUCCCAACUGUGAGAGGGCCUUGCUCCAGUGAAAUGGAGUGAGGCAUACCAGGAUAUGCCUGGUUUUACUUUUGGGAAGGAGGUUGAACAGUGCAAUAUUUCUUCUAUAGGAUUGCAGUGACCAGACAUGCUACUGUAACUCUCAUGGUCAUGUGCUGGAAUUAGCAGAUGUUCAACAAUUUGGCCAUCUCGCUGACCUGUUGAUAUCAGAAGACCCCAACAGCUCUGCAAAGCAAGUUGCAAAACAGAAUCCAUGAAACUGGCAGUGACUGGAAACCAAUUGGAAGACUUUGGUCUGUGAUGUAGAGGAGUGGGCAGAGGUAGCAGAAGCAAAGACAACAAAAAGAAGAAGUGAUGUGGAUGUCUUCGUCAUAUUGCAUGACUCUGCUGACCCAGCAACAAAGAGGAGGGUGUUCAACAUCAUCCUGCUAGUCAGGAUUCUUCAGGAGAAGCAGUGGAUUCUUGUGGCAGAGAUGGUCAACCACUAUAAAUACCUUUCAACUCAUCCUGGUUCUUUCAAAGAACUUUCUUGCUUGUUUGCUACUGAAAUAUUCGACAUGUGGCCUUAACGAAGAGGGGUUAAAAGGUCUAUGGAUCAUCAUUCUCAAAAAGCAACAAAAUAACUGAGAAAUAAACAACAAUACGAUGGUGCAAUCUAGAGACCUGCAAGGUACCUGCAAGUUUUGGCUGGAGCAGAGAACAUAGAUUUUUUUUAAAUAAAGCUCCAGCUGAUGAGUUUGACAUUGACUGUGGAUUUUCUUUUACUGUAAUCCAGAAGAGGAUGACCUUAACCCUGAAUCUAAAGCAUGUAAUAAAAUCUGUAAAAAAUUAAAUAAAAUUGUCAUCAUCUAUAACCAAA
rnacentral:lncRNA from 1 species